UACGAAGGGGGCUAGCGUUGCUCGGAAUCACUGGGCGUAAAGCGCACGUAGGCGGAUCGUUAAGUCAGAGGUGAAAUCCUGGAGCUCAACUCCAGAACUGCCUUUGAUACUGGCGAUCUUGAGUUCGAGAGAGGUGAGUGGAACUGCGAGUGUAGAGGUGAAAUUCGUAGAUAUUCGCAAGAACACCAGUGGCGAAGGCGGCUCACUGGCUCGAUACUGACGCUGAGGUGCGAAAGCGUGGGGAGCAAACAGG
rnacentral:rRNA from 1 species